rnacentral:rRNA from 1 species
GAUGAACGCUGGCGGCGUGCCUAAUACAUGCAAGUCGAGCGAACAGACGAGGAGCUUGCUCCUCUGACGUUAGCGGCGGACGGGUGAGUAACACGUGGAUAACCUACCUAUAAGACUGGGAUAACUUCGGGAAACCGGAGCUAAUACCGGAUAAUAUAUUGAACCGCAUGGUUCAAUAGUGAAAGACGGUUUUGCUGUCACUUAUAGAUGGAUCCGCGCCGCAUUAGCUAGUUGGUAAGGUAACGGCUUACCAAGGCAACGAUGCGUAGCCGACCUGAGAGGGUGAUCGGCCACACUGGAACUGAGACACGGUCCAGACUCCUACGGGAGGCAGCAGUAGGGAAUCUUCCGCAAAGCGCGAAAGCCUGACGGAGCAACGCCGCGUGAGUGAUGAAGGUCUUCGGAUCGUAAAACUCUGUUAUUAGGGAAGAACAAAUGUGUAAGUAACUAUGCACGUCUUGACGGUACCUAAUCAGAAAGCCACGGCUAACUACGUG